AGCAGCCGCGGUAAUUCCAGCUCCAAUAGCGUAUAUUAAAGUUGUUGCAGUUAAAAAAGCUCGUAGUUGAAUUUCGGGACCAAUAUGUUGGUCGUGCCUCGGUACGCACUGGCAUUAUUGGUUUCUCCCUUCUGACGAACUACGAUGCCAUUAAUUUGGUGUCGUAGGGAAUCAGGACUGUUACUUUGAAAAAUUAGAGUGUUUAAAAGCAGGCUCGCGCUUGAAUACAUUAGCAUGGAAUAAUGAAAUAGGACGUUUGAUUCUAUUUUGUUGGUUUCUAGGAUCGACGUAAUGAUUAAUAGGGAUAGUUGGGGGCAGUUAGUAUU
rnacentral:sRNA from 1 species